CUGACAGUUUGAAACAAAAAGCUUCCACUCUGGUAUAUAUCUAUAUCAAUAUAUAAGCUGUAUCAGGAUGAAGAUUGCAAAAGUAAACAUUACAGCCAUACUGCUUAUGUGCAUAUCAUACGCGCAUGCCAAGUGUCGCUGCCAGCAAAUUACCACGGUGGUCAAUGGACAAAAUGUGUGUUCGUGCAACCCAGGCUUUAUCGUCAACCCAGCUAAUCC